rnacentral:rRNA from 1 species
UCUGACCUCAAAUCAGGUAGGAUUACCCGCUGAACUUAAGCAUAUCAAUAAGCGGAGGAAAAGAAACUAACAAGGAUUCCCUUAGUAACUGCGAGUGAAACGGGAAAAGCUCAAAUUUUAAAUCUGGCAGUCAGUUUUUUCUUCUUUGGCUGUCCGAGUUGUAAUCUAGAGAAGUGUUUACCAGUACUGGACCGUGUAUAAGUCUCCUGGAAUGGAGUGUCACAGAGGGUGAGAAUCCCGUCUUUGACAUGGGCUACCAGUGCGUUGUGGUGCGCUCUCAAAGAGUCGAGUUGUUUGGGAAUGCAGCUCUAAAUGGGUGGUAAACUCCAUC